CCUCCCUGGCAAUGGGUAGAGACACCUUGUUGGUGCUGGUGUUCUUCUAUCAGCCAGGGAUGGAGCAGAUGGCAGUCCUCUGUUCAGCUUAACUUGAUGCCUGGCUUGGUGGCCAAAGCUUUUUUAUUCAAAGGACACAUAA